rnacentral:snoRNA from 1 species
ACCCUCCAGACUCCUUGUCCCUCAGAUGUAACACUGGUCUGAGCAGCUGCAAAAGGAGGAAAAGUAAGACUGAAGUGCACAUGGAGUCUUUAGGGACUUACAAGUUCAUUUCAAACACAG